GCCUGGGUGGCUCAGCCGGUUAAGCAUCUGAUUUCAGCUCAGGUCAUGAUCCCACAGCUCAUGAGUUUGAGCCCCAUGUCAGGCU
rnacentral:tRNA from 1 species